AGCCGGCGACACCUUCGCUGAGUUUCUGAUCUAUCAUGCUGACGACGGUUGGUGCUAUGCCAACCGUGGCGUUAACGGAUAACAGAGAAUCUGGGUUCGAUUCUGGAGAGGCCGCAUGAGAAACGGCGACCACUUCCAAGGAAGGCAGCAGGCACGCAAAUUACCCACUUCGGACACCGAGAGGUAGUGACGAACAAUACCGAUGCGGCGCACAUACGUGUCGCCGUAAUCGGAAUGAGUACACUUCAAAUCCUUUAACGAGGAUCCACUGGAGGGCAAGCCUGGUGCCAGCAGCCGCGGUAAUUCCAGCUCCAGCAGCGUAUAUUUAUAUUGCUGCGUUUAAAAAGCUCGUAGUUGAAGCGUCAGACGCGGAAGGGCGGACGGCCGCACUGGUCGCUCUCGCCCGACCGAGCCAGGCGCAGAGGGCGCGCGUCGCUUGCACUUUACCGUGUGAGCGCGCCGCCGCUGCACGUUCACCUUGAAGAAAUUGAACCGCUUAGAGGGGGCGAACAGCUUGUACAGCUCAGCAUGGUAUGAUGGAACAUGGGCUCGUACUCAUUUUGUUGGUUAGAGAGUCGGCGAGCCAAUGAUUAACAGGGACUGCCGGGGGCAUUCGUACUCGGACGGGAGAGGUGAAAUUCAAGGAUCGUCCGAAGACGCCCUACUGCGAAAGCAUUUGCCAAGAAUGUUUUCAUUAAUCAAGAACGAAAGUCAGAGGUGCAAAGGCGAUCAGAUACCGCCGUAGUUCUGACCGUAAACGUUGCCAACUGGCAAUUGGGCGCACUUCUGUCGAAGUUGCCGCCAGCAGUAUUGCCCGGGAAACCAAAGUCAUUGGGUUCCGGGGGGAGUAUGGUUGCAAAGCUGAAACUUAAAGGAAUUGACGGAAGGGCACCACCAGGAGUGGAGCCUGCGGCUUAAUUUGACUCAACACGGGAAACCUCACCCGGCCCGAACACUGUUAUGACAGACAGGUUGAGAGCUCUUUCUCGAUUCAGUGGUUGGUGGUGCAUGGCCGUUCUUAGUUCGUGGAGCGAUCUGUCUGGUUAAUUCCGAUAACGAACGAGACUCUUGCCUGCUAAAUAGACGGCGUCGACUCUUGUCGGCGACCGUUCGCUUCUUAGAGGGACAAGCGGCUUUUAGCCGCGUGAAGCCGAGAGCAAUAACAGGUCAGUGAUGCCCUCAGAUGUUCGGGGCCGCACGCGCGCUACACUGUUUGCAUCAGCGUGUUUCUCCCGCGCCGGCUGGCGCGGGCAACCCGUUGAACCGCAAACGUGCUAGGGAUCGGAGAUUGCAAUUGUUCUCCGUGAACGAGGAAUUCCUUGUACUGGCGAGUCAUCAGCUCGCGGGGAAUCUGUCCCUGCCCUUUGUACACACCGCCCGUCGCUACUACCGAUUGAGUGGUUUAGUGAGGCUCACGGACUGCGCGCGGCACACGG
rnacentral:rRNA from 1 species